rnacentral:pre_miRNA from 9 species
UCUCGAUAGCGUAAGAGUUAACUCAUAUUUGUAUGGAAUUGGAUCGUAUGCGUACGUUUGCCGCUAGGGGCGCUGUUCCAACUGCAUACACAAUUAGGUUAACUUUUACGCUAACGA